rnacentral:rRNA from 1 species
AACACAUGCAAGUCGAGCGGUAACAGAAAUUAGCUUGCUAAUUUGCUGACGAGCGGCGGACGGGUGAGUAAUGCCUGGGAAUAUGCCUUAGUGUGGGGGAUAACUAUUGGAAACGAUAGCUAACACCGCAUAAUGUCUUCGGACCAAAGAGGGGGACCUUCGGGCCUCUCGCGCUAAGAUUAGCCCAGGUGAGAUUAGCUAGUUGGUGAGGUAAGAGCUCACCAAGGCGACGAUCUCUAGCUGGUCUGAGAGGAUGAUCAGCCACACUGGAACUGAGACACGGUCCAGACUCCUACGGGAGGCAGCAGUGGGGAAUAUUGCACAAUGGGCGAAAGCCUGAUGCAGCCAUGCCGCGUGUAUGAAGAAGGCCUUCGGGUUGUAAAGUACUUUCAGUCGUGAGGAAGGGUAUGUAGUUAAUAGCUGCAUAUCUUGACGUUAGCGACAGAAGAAGCACCGGCUAACUCCGUGCCAGCAGCCGCGGUAAUACGGAGGGUGCGAGCGUUAAUCGGAAUUACUGGGCGUAAAGCGCAUGCAGUGGCUCAUUAAGUCAGAUGUGAAAGCCCGGGGCUCAACCUCGGAACCGCAUUUGAAACUGGUGAACUAGAGUGCUGUAGAGGGGGGUAGAAUUUCAGGUGUAGCGGUGAAAUGCGUAGAGAUCUGAAGGAAUACCAGUGGCGAAGCGGCCCCCUGGACAGACACUGACACUCAGAUGCGAAGCGUGGGGAGC